rnacentral:rRNA from 1 species
AACGAACGCUGGCGGCGCGCCUAAUACAUGCAAGUCGAGCGAGAAGACGUAGCAAUACGUUUGUAAAGCGGCGAACGGGUGAGGAAUACAUGGGUAACCUACCCUCGAGUGGGGAAUAACUAGCCGAAAGGUUAGCUAAUACCGCGUACGCUCCUUGGACUUCGGUUCAGGGAGGAAAGCGAUACCGUGGGUAUCGCGCUCUUGGAUGGGCUCAUGUCCUAUCAGCUUGUUGGUGAGGUAACGGCUCACCAAGGCUUCGACGGGUAGCUGGUCUGAGAGGACGAUCAGCCACACUGGCACUGCGACACGGGCCAGACUCCUACGGAGGCAGCAGUAAGGAAUAUUGCGCAAUGGGCGAAAGCCUGACGCAGCGACGCCGCGUGGGGGA